rnacentral:lncRNA from 13 species
GGUGUUUACAAGCACAAGAGAUAGGAUCUCACUCUGUCACCCAGGCUGGAGUGCAGUGGCAUGAUUGAACUCCUGGGCUCAAGUGAUCCUCUGCCUCAAACUUCUGAGUAGCUGGGACUACAGCUAACCUAUGAGCAUCCUGAGUGGGGGUCAAGAUUAGUCUGAGUGGAGUGAAGACGCAGAGGGUUGGAGUGUGGUGGUGCAAUUUUGGUUCAUUCAGCCUCAACCUCUCAGUCUCAAGUGAGCCUCCCACUUCAGCCUUCCAAGUAGCUGGGACUACAGGU